rnacentral:rRNA from 1 species
GAAUUUUGGACAAUGGGCGCAAGCCUGAUCCAGCAAUGCCGCGUGCGGGAAGAAGGCCUUCGGGUUGUAAACCGCUUUCGUCAGGGAAGAAAUCUCCUGGGCUAAUACCUCGGGGGGAUGACGGUACCUGAAGAAUAAGCACCGGCUAACUACGUGCCAGCAGCCGCGGUAAUACGUAGGGUGCAAGCGUUAAUCGGAAUUACUGGGCGUAAAGCGUGCGCAGGCGGUCUUGCAAGACAGAUGUGAAAUCCCCGGGCUCAACCUGGGAACUGCAUUUGUGACUGCAAGGCUGGAGUGCGGCAGAGGGGGAUGGAAUUCCGCGUGUAGCAGUGAAAUGCGUAGAUAUGCGGAGGAACACCGAUGGCGAAGGCAAUCCCCUGGGCCUGCACUGACGCUCAUGCACGAAAGCGUGGGGAGCAAACAGG